rnacentral:sRNA from 1 species
GUGGUAGGACCCUGGCAGCAGUGAGGGAAAGUCUUGCUCCUCCCCUCAUCCUGAGGAUAUUUCUAGAACCCCUGAUCUCCUUUAUAUCUGCCCAGCUGUGUGGUGCGGCCCUGUUGGCAGUGGGCAUCUGGGUGUCAAUCGAUGGGGCAUCCUUUCUGAAGAUCUUCGGGCCGCUGUCGUCCAGUGCCAUGCAGUUUGUCAACGUGGGCUACUUCCUCAUCGCAGCCGGCGUUGUGGUCUUUGCUCUUGGUUUCCUGGGCUGCUAUGGUGCUAAAACUGAGAGCAAGUGUGCCCUCAUGACGUUCUUCUUCAUCCUCCUCCUCAUCUUCAUUGCUGAGGUUGCAGCUGCUGUGGUCGCCUUGGUGUACACCACAAUGGCUGAGCACUUCCUGACAUUGUUGGUAGUGCCUGCCAUCAAGAAAGACUACGGUUCCCAGGAAGACUUCACUCAAGUGUGGAACACUACCAUGAAAGGGGUAAGGUUGGCUGGGGGAGGUUUUAGGGUGGAGAGAAAGAAGCAAGGCCCCACCUCCACCCUCAUCUUGUCUCCAGCUCAAGUGCUGUGGCUUCACCAACUAUACGGAUUUUGAGGACU